rnacentral:rRNA from 1 species
AUACGGAGGGUGCGAGCGUUAUCCGGAUUUAUUGGGUUUAAAGGGUGCGUAGGCGGCCUUUUAAGUCAGUGGUGAAAACCUGCGGCUCAACCGUAGGCGUGCCAUUGAAACUGAAGGGCUUGAGUUACCGUGAGGCAGGCGGAAUGUGCAGUGUAGCGGUGAAAUGCUUAGAUAUUGCACAGAACACCGAUUGCGAAGGCAGCUUGCCAAAGGUUUACUGACGCUGAUGCACGAAAGCGUGGGGAUC